rnacentral:rRNA from 1 species
GGAUCAGCAGGUCGGUCGUGCCACUGGUAUGCACUGGCCUUGCUGAUUCCUCCUUCUUGAUGAGCCGUAAUGCCAUUAAUUUGGUGUUGCGGGGAAUCAGGACUGUUACUUUGAAAAAAUUAGAGUGUUUAAAGCAGGCAAGCGCUUGAAUACAUUAGCAUGGAAUAAUGAAAUAGGACG